rnacentral:lncRNA from 1 species
CAACCCUCAGAGAAGCAAGAUUCAGCUCCCAGCCAAGCCUUUUCACAACUGCAGUUUCCUCUUCUGCACAAGGAGAAGGUGGCUGACUUAGCAGAGUCUGCAGAUAAAGAUGAAAGGCACAGACUCUUCAGAUGGAGUGACGGAGUGCUGUGGGAAGAUCAGCGUGAAAUGCAGGAGCAGUGCUUGAAUCAAGGAUGAGAAAAAGCCUCUCCUGUAGGGAGUUGUCUCCAAAUACCCACACCUUGUGUUUUGACUUCUAG